UCGAAACAGCUGUUAGUUUGUUGUUAACGUUAGUGUAGCUAGAAACUAUCUUAUCAGUUAUCUCUACUAGCAGAUCCAUCAUGAAGAUAAGUUUACUUCUUACUUGUCAGGCUUACAAUAAAAUCAACUAUUGCUUUUUUAUCGAUGAUUUUGACCGUGUAUUCGGUGUUGAUGUUCAUUGACAUUCUCUAACGAUAAAUUAAGCUAGCUAAUGUUAGCGUACUAGCUAGCGGAUAGUUUAGCACUAGGGAGUUGAGAUAACUAGCUACUAGUGCUAGCUAAUCAAACGUCAGCCAGCCAACAAUCCAAAGUGAUACGAUUAUAAUGGUGGACAAAUGGACCAAAGACGAGGUUGGCAAGUGGCUCCAAAGUUUGCAUUUGGUUGAUUACAAAGAAACCUUCAGAGAACAGGAAAUUGAUGGGGAGACACUCCUGGGCCUGACUGAAAGGAUGGUGGAGAAACUUUUCCCUUUAAUGAAGUCACAGGUGAUGUUUAUGAAGGAGCUGAAUAAAUUAAGAAACUCUCAGAACUCCCAGUCGUUCCCAGAACAGUAAGUAAGAUGUGUUAACCAGUCUGUAGACAUGGUAGUAAGUAAGCAAGCAUUUAAUUUAAGCCUGGCAUUGAUCUUACUACUUUUCCUCUC